AACGAACGCUGGCGGCAUGCCUAACACAUGCAAGUCGAACGAGACCUUCGGGUCUAGUGGCGCACGGGUGCGUAACGCGUGGGAAUCUGCCCUUGGGUUCGGUAUAACAGUUGGAAACGACUGCUAAUACCGGAUGAUCACGUAAGUCCAAAGAUUUAUCGCCCAAGGAUGAGCCCGCGUAGGAUUCGCUAGUUGGUGAGGUAAAGGCUCACCAAGGCGACGAUCCUUAGCUGGUCUGAGAGGAUGAUCAGCCACACUGGGACUGAGACACGGCCCAGACUCCUACGGGAGGCAGCAGUGGGGAAUAUUGGACAAUGGGCGAAAGCCUGAUCCAGCAAUGCCGCGUGAGUGAUGAAGGCCUUAGGGUUGUAAAGCUCUUUUACACGGGAUGAUAAUGACAGUACCGGGAGAAUAAGCUCCGGCUAACUACGUG
rnacentral:rRNA from 1 species